rnacentral:rRNA from 1 species
UACAGAGGUCCCAAGCGUUGUUCGGAUUCAUUGGGCGUAAAGGGUGCGUAGGCGGCGCGGUAAGUCGGGUGUGAAAUCUCGGAGCUUAACUCCGAAACUGCAUUCGAUACUGCCGUGCUUGAGGACUGGAGAGGAGACUGGAAUUCCUGGUGUAGCGGUGGAAUGCGCAGAUAUCAGGAGGAACACCGGUGGCGAAGGCGGGUCUCUGGGCAGUAACUGACGCUGGAGGAGCGAAAAGCGUGGGGAGCGAACAGG